rnacentral:lncRNA from 1 species
AUUGUUCAUCAAAUGGAUGUUAAGACAACCUUUCUAAAUAGUGAUUUGGAUGAAGAGAUUUAUAUAAAGCAACCUGAAGGCUUUAUAGUUUCUGGGCAUGAGAAUAAAGUGUGCAAAUUGAAUAGAUCUUUAUAUGGACUUAAGCAAGCUCCUAAGCAGUGGCAUUUGAAAUUUGACUUUUUGGUUGUAUCAAAUGGUUUUCAUAUAAACAUAUCUGAUGAAUGCGUAUAUUCGAAGGAAUAUAAUGGACAGAUAGUGAUCUUAUGUUUAUAUGUUGAUGAUAUUUUAAUUUUUGGAACUAAUAUGAAUGUGAUAUAUGAUGUGAAGAAAUUAUUAAAUAAAAAUUUUGAUAUAAAAGAUCUUGGGUAAGCAGAUGUUAUUCUCAACAUGAAGAUCAUUAAAAAAUUGAAAGAAAUUAUUAUGAGCCAAUCCCACUACAAUGAACAAUUAUUGAAAAAGUUUGGAUACUUUGAUUUAAACCUGUAAUGACAUCUUAUGAUUCUAGUGUGCAUCUUAAAAAGAAUAUAGUAAAUCCAAUAGGUCAAAAUAAAUAUUCAUAGAUUAUUGGAUUCUUAGGAUAUUUGGUAGAUUACACUAGACCUGAUUUGGUUUAAACUGUGAACCGAUUGAGAAGAUAUACCUAUAGUCCAAAUAGAGAGCAUUAGAAUGGCUUAGAAAGAGUUUUAAGAUAUCUGAAGGGGACUGUAUCUUAUGGAUUGCAUUACACUGAUUUUUCUGCAGUACUGGAAGCAUAUAGUGAUGCCAAUUGGAUUAGUGAUACAGCUGAUGUAAAGUCGACUACUGAAUUUUUUUUUUCUUCUAGGAGGAGCAACUGUUUCUUGGAAGCCAACUAAAUAAUUUUUGAUUGCUAGAAGUACUAUGGAAUCUGAACUCAUAGCCUUGGAUACAACUAUAGUAGAAACUAAGUGGAUUAGAUAAUUUCUUUAUGAUUUGCCACUUAUGGAGCGACCUUUAGCACCUAUAUGUAUUCAUUAUGAUUGUAGAUCCGCAAUAGAUAAGUGGGCACAUAAAAUUAAUAACUUGAGUUUGUAAGCCUAAUAAAUUGAGUGGGCCUGUGGUACACAAUCUAACGACAAGAGACCCAAUAAUAAACCUAACGUUCAGAUAGAUUGAGUUAGGUCAAAGGCCAUGAGCUCUGUAGUUGCGCUCUUAUUGCGAUUGGUGUGCCUUUUCUAUUAGCACGUGUUUUUUGGAUAGUUGAUUAGUAUUUACAAUCCCACAGUUAUUACCACAGUUUUAUAGUUUAAACAAAACGAAGAUUGAAGACGCUUUUAAAUUUAAGUUUUAAGGGCAUGUUUGGUUCGAAGUCGGAAUCGGAAUUAGAAUCGGAAUCGAAAUAAGCUGGAAUUGGAAUGGGAAUUACUAAUUACCUAAUUCUGUUUGGUUCGUUAUCUGAAUCGGAAUCGGAAUAAGUCAUUUUCAUUAUCAAUGCUUGGUUCAGAUAGAUAUAAAAAACGUAAUCAAAUUAAUAUGCUAACUCUACCUUUAUAAUAUAUUAUUUAAAUUCAAAUUGAAAAUUAAAUAUUAAAAAUUUACAUCAAAAUUUUGAAAUAAUGUCAAAAUUUUAAAUCUAUUUUUUAAAAAAAAAUUAAACUUUGAAGUUGAAUUCAAAAUAUAAAACUAAAUUUCGAUUUAUUCAAAUUCAAACUUAAAAUUACAAUUUAAAUUUUAAUUUAAAUCCAUAAAUUUAAUUUAAGUUUUAAAUAAAAUUUGAAUAAAAUUUUAUAUAAAUUAAAAUUUAAUUUAAAUUUAAAUUUAUAAGUUAGAUUCGAAAUACUUGAUUAAAUUUUAAUUUUUAAUUCAAAUUUAAGUUGGGCGCGGGCGCCCUCUUCUCCGUCAGCGCACGCGCGCGACGAGGUUUUUUCCGUCGAACUUGUUCGCCCCACUGCUCCGUGCCGCCUGUCACUUCCUACCAAACAAACAAGAGAAUUAAUAAAACUCCACUUCUAUAACUACAAAACAAACAGCGGGGAAGCAGUAGUUUUCAUCGAACUCCACCUCCACCCAAAGUCCACUUCAAUCCAAAAUUCAGUAUUGGUGAAACAAACAUGUAUAGGUUUUUUGUUUUUUUAUUUUUAUCAUUUUUCCUUCUCCCAACGUGUGGUCUUCUUCAUUGGGCUACAAAUAAGGCCUGAAGCCACACGCCUGGCCCAAUGAGACUUAAUUUCAUAAAUUAUUUAAAAAUAUUAGAUUAGUCUAAGCUAAAUUAAUUUUAGAAUACAAUUUAGUCAAAUUUAUAUUUGGUGCAAAUUUUGUGACUUGUUAGGUACGCUGGGUAGGAUUGGACAAAUAUACAAGUCAGACAUUCUAAUAUAUACAUACAGAGAGCCCGGCUAUGUUUUUUUUAAAAGUAUCAAGCAUUUGGUAUUUGUAAGUUUUCCACCGUUAAAUCUAUUCCUUUAUCAAUUCCACCCUUUAGAUUAUAUUAUUCCACUAACCAGCAACUUAAUUUUAGAGGAUCACUAUUAUUCUAACUUUACAAAUUUUCGUCUAAAAGCCGAAAACUUACAAACACCAAUGACAUGACGUUCAAUUAUAUAUAUAUAUAUAUAUAUAUUUAUAAAUCUCUAUUAAUCCCCGUAAUUUUUUAUACACGUGGUAUGUUUAGCUUAAUUUGGGGUAUAUAUGUGGGACCUACUUGUUAAUUGCGUUUGUAUCUGUGUAGAUCUACUUUGCUUUCAAAAUUAUAUAUACUUCUAACUUUUUAGCCCUAAAAUUUAGGGUUUACUAAUCGACGGUGGUAAUAGCAUAAAUCCAGAAGUUCAAAAGUUGGAAUUUGGUACUUCUAAUAAUACUAGUGGAGCCCGUGCUUUACAGCGGGUAGAAACCGUAGUAGUAAUUAAUAAUAAUAAAAUAUUAAACAUUUUUUUGUGUAUCCCACUUGGUAUAUCCACUAAAGGUCGCGGCGGAAAGGAGAAGUGGGCGUGCAUUAGUGAGAAAGAGGGAGGGAGCGAGGGAAGGAAGCGAUGGUGUAUAACAAAAAAUGAGUCGUGAGACCGCGACUAUGGGAAGAUGGCAGUUCCCUAAAACACACACGAAGCGAUACUAGCGCAUGGCCAUAAAGGCGCUCACCCGCUUAGAAUCUAAACAGCUGUAUCAUAUGUGCUUUUUGUGGAAAUCUGAUUCACCGGCCUUGGUUCAAGGCGUAGUUCACCAUCGUGCCCUCAGAUGUACAUUGGUAAGCACUAAGGGGCUGUUUGGUUGUACGCAUUUGCAACUGCAGUGCAGUUGCAAAUGCUUACAGCCACAAUUCCUUUGUUUGGUUUAGUGUAGUUGAGUUCAACUGCACAAGAAGGCCCAAAUGCUGCAGUUGGAACUACAUCCAAAUUGGUCGUAGCUCCAACUGCAGCAGUUGGUGAGGGAUAGGAUCACCUACAAAUUAAUAAUAAUAAAUAAAUAAAUAAAUAGCUAAAUAAAUAAAUAAUAUAUAUGUAUAUAGGUAAAUAAAAAUACUUAUAAAUAAACUCAUACUAAUAAAAUUUUUUAGACAAUACAAGCUUUGUGCAAAAAAUUAAUUUUUUUAAAUUUAUUUUAUUUAAAAUAUAAAUAUAGUUUUUUUUUUCUAAAUUUUAUAGAAAUUGAUCGUGUAUGUUAAUUAAUAAGUUUUAAUUAAUUAUAAUAUUAAAUUGAUAAAAAAAUAAGAGAAUCGUUAAUUUUAAAGUUUGAUUCUAAUAAAAUUAAAUUAAAUUAAAAUUUUAAAAUGUGUCGAUUAAUAAGUUGAAGAAUUAUUGAAAAAUAUAAAAAUAUUAUAUAUAUCUACUUAUUUAUUUAUAAAUAGUAAAUUUAAAUAAUUAAUAAAUGUAUACAAUUAUUUUAUGUUUAGUGAAGGUAACCUCACCACUCUAUCUGAAGAGGUGACAAAAUUCAUAAAUACAACUAUCAGCUUCAUAUUACCAAACAGAAGAAAUGUAACUGCAGCAGUUGCAACUACGUAAAACCAAACAGACUAGGUGUAGUUACAACUACAGCAUUUGCAACUACAUGUAUUUCCAACUACACUGUUUCUGCAACUACAUCCAACCAAACGGCCCCUAAGUAAAGAUUCAAAUCCGAAAGGUACCUUUGCCGAGUACUUGAUAUAAGAGAUCCAGCAUUCUUUUGAGGUGUUUUGAAUUUCAGUUUAUUUACUUUCUUUAUUUCAAGUUUUAAAUCAUGUAGAGGAAUAUUAGUUUUUAUUGAAUUUUUGUGAUUUAAAACUUGUUAGACUUCUUGGGCAGCCCAAUAAUUAAUGGGUCUUGUUUGGGAGUCCAGCUAAAGUUUUCUUAUGUGAAAUUUAAUCCCACAUUGGAAAUUAAAAGGGUGUUGUUGAUAUAUAUAUAUAUAUUCCUAUAAUUUUAUGUAUAAUAAUAAAUAAUUUAAUAAAUAAAAAUAAUAUAAUUAUAAUUUUAUAUAAUUAAAAUUUAAUUUAAAACAACUAAAUUAUUUUUUUAUACAUAAAUUAUAAUAAUAUGACAAUAAAAUUAUAAAGUAAAAAAAAAUUAAUACUUGAUUAAUCAAUUUUUAUCAUAUUUUAAUUGUACAAACUAAUUAAAAAAAAAUUAAAACUUAACUAAUUAAUUUUUAUCAUAUCUUAAAUAUGCCAACUGAAGAAAAAAGUAAUUAAUAUCAUAAUUAAAUAUAUUUAAAUAUAAUUAUAUUUAUCUAGUAUAUAUAUAUAUAUAUAUAUAUAUAUAUAUAUAUAUAUAUAUUUUUUUUUUUUUUUCAUUUUCCUUCACCGGAAUUGACUUUGGCUCACGAUGGGCCGAAGUCAAUUACGCCGUUUCGGGUUAACUCGUGUUUCGGCCGUAUCUAUUUUAUGACGAAUCAAACAACAAAAAUGAUCGCUUACGACGUAAACGACUUCCCCCCUCUCCACUUCCACCCAAACAAACACACCCUAAACUACUUAAUGGUUACAUCCUUUUUCGUUGUUGGCUAUUUAUUAUAUGUACAUCCUUUUUCAUCCAAACGUAAAAUUGAUUUAGUUUCUAUUUAUAUCCGAACCAAACAUAACCGUUAUAGGAAAAGUUUAAGGAUCUUUAUGCAAACAAAACUGCUACGUAAUUUUGCUUGAGGAUAGGGAUUAAUUUAAAUUAGUUGAUAAAAUUUACUAGGUUAUAAUUUUCGAUAGGAAAAGUUUUGUUUUUUUUUUUUUUUUUUUGAGAGAUAGGUAGCAUGCUACCCGCUUUGUUUAUUUCAUUUAAAAAAUAAACCUAGUUGGAAAUGUGAAUCAACUAGGAUUCAAACUUAGGUCUCGAGUAUCAACCACCAAGCCCUUUGCCACUUGCUCUAGUAACGGUCGGUUCCGAUUAGAGAUGUCAACGAGUUGGAUUCGGGGUGGAUUUUUAAAAACCCGAACCCGACCCUGACUCCAAACCCGAACUCGAACCCGCUCGAACCUGAACCCGACGGAUUUUAAAAAUCCAUAUCCAAACCCGAAUCCGACUAAAAAUCCGAAACCCGAACCCGAAAAUUUGAACCCGAACUAAUUAUUUCGUUUUUCAAUAUUUCAAAAUAUAUUAUAUUAAAUCUAAAAUUUUAAAAUACAAAUUCAAAUAUAACAUUAAAUUUAUAUAUAUAUAUAUAUAUAUAAUACAAAAUAAAUUCGGGUUCGGGUUUGGGUUGGAUACAAUCAAAAUCCAUAUUCGAAUCCAUAUCCGUCGGGUUUUUAUUUUUUAUAUCCAUAUUUGAAUCCAUAUUCAUAUUUAUCGAAUAUAUCCAUUUUAUUCGGAUUCGGAUUCGGAUUCGAAUAAAAUUUCGGAUAUCCAUACCCAUCGACAUCCCUAGCUCCGAUAGGAAAAGUUUAAGGAUCUCCAUGCAAUAUACUUCAGGGUCCUUCUCACACUUUUCUUAUAAUUUAAACUUUUAAUAUUUUAAUAGUUUUAUUAUUCCUGUAAAAAGCUUCGUCGAAAAUCGAAACCCUCUUCGUCACGCGUCCUCGUCAAGCUGGGUUCUUUACGUGAAGCGAAGAGAAGGCGCCGCGAUCCCAUGGAGGCGGAGGAAGCAAAGGUAUCCGAUUACUCCCCUAAAUCGAUUUCUCUAAUCUUCUUAAUUACUCAAUUUCGAUUCCAAUCCGUCUAAAUCGCUUCUUCUUGAAUCCAAAUUUGGUGUUAAAUUUGAUCGAUUUGGUCGUGUAAUCGUUCCGCUGUGCCAAUUGGUUGCAAUCGCGUAGUUGCACCGGGUUUUGAGUUGUUGUGGUCUGUGUUUAAGAUUUGGUUAGGGUUUUUGAGUUUGGGAAUUGGAAUUUGGUGUUUGGAGUGCGUUGGUAGUGAGGCUUGGAAGUCUCUGAUGCUGUGAUUGAGGCCGAUAAAGAGAGCAUAUUUUGAGUUGGGGAUGUGAAAUUUUUAGUCUUUUGUGUUAACUUUGAUCUCAAAAAGAAAUUUUUAGCAAACUUAUGAAUGCAUUCUGAUUAGGAUGAUGUUACUUUUGGGGGAAUUUUUGAAUUCGAUGUUAUUGAUACGUUGAUGGGGUUUUCUCUUGGAUGAUUUAGGUUUUGAGUAAAGAAAAUUCUCUUCUAGGUUGUUUAAUUCUUUCUUGAUGUUGAGUCAACCACAGGCUCCAAUUAAAUUCUUCUCAUGGAUUAGAUUUUGCAUAAACAAAAUUUCUAUUUGAACCUUUUGGAUUGUUUAAUUCCUUCGUGCUAGAUUUUUUAGUUAACCUGUUGCUACACCUGGAGAGAAUAGUUUGAUCCGAAUCCAUGAGUCACUUGAAAGCCACAAUAUUGUUAGCAAUUGGAAGGAUCAUCAAGAUUAGUAGCUUAUUACUUGUAAAACUAUGUGAUUUUCUGCAGCCAUUCGUUCACAUCAUUAGCCUUAAACCUUCGUGUAAGAUUUGGAAACUUGACGAUUUUGGGUUAUGGAGGGAAAGUGGUGGAAAUCCAGUUUAUGGAAAAAGCCCAGUUCGGGUGAGAAUUCAUGACUAUGUAUUCUACUCAACCAUGGAAUUCUUUCUAGCAUACUGAUUGUCGUUCGUACAACUGCGCAUCUUUAAAGAGUUUCUACAGUUUUUGUCCACUUGAAAGGACAUAUACAAGUUAAUGGUUCUAUUUCUUUUAAAUAGGCGUUUACGUUGUUCCGAUCAGGAUUUUGCGUUAGACUUCAUGUAACUAUUGUAUAAAGUAUAAACUGAAUAUCUAGAGACUUGAGUUUCAACUAUGAGAAAGUUACUGCUGCAUGUAUGCAUAUAGAUUCAUUGAUCCCUAAUAGAUACCAUCAUGAAACUGAUUUGGCCCAUUUUUAGUUUUUCCUUUUCCCCCCCUUUUUCUAUUUAUUUGGUGCUGCUGGGAGGUAAUCCGAACAGAAAACAACGCAUCUACAAGUUCCGUAUAGUUAGCAUUAUUUUAUUUGUGCAGUUUGUUUAUUUUAAGCUAUUCAUGCUAAUAGGGGUCAAGAAAUAUAUGAACCUUUUAUCAAAUCAAGCCGUUAGCCUACUUCCCUAGCUAUAUCUACGACUAUAACUCACUCUCAUAUCUGGAAAUUGAUGAUAACUUGCUGUUUGCUAAGGCACAUCUUCGAAGGGUUUUUUAUAUUGAAAUUUCUAAUUCCACAUACUUCUUACAUGCCGUAUCAUAAAAAUGGGAUAAAUUAGUUGACCUUGGAAACAUUCAAAUGCAUCUUACCAGAGUUGAGCUAUGUUAGAACUCGAGUGCUUUUAAAAAACAAUUGUAAACAUCAACCGGAAGUCUUCAUGUUUGUCUCCACUAAAUGUGAAUUUUAACUGAUUUUCUCAUUCUUAAUAAGUAGACUAAGUAUUGAUUACUGUACACUUUCUUUUUUGAAUUCUGACCGCUAGCAUUCCUACUGAGAAACUUCCAGGAUAGGUUGUUAGCCAUCUCAGAGGAACUUGGUCAUGAGAUACGUGUAUUUAUGAACUCACCAAACUCUGCAGCACCCAAUGAAACACCUCCUCAUGAUGGUAUAUUCUUUAAUUGAGUGACUCAUGUGUUUUCAUCCAUUUGUUUUUUACUUUUAUUAGAUGCAUUUGAUGUGACUAUAGAGGAUCAUUAUGGAUAUUUUUAAUUGAUAUAGUUGUAUGAUAUUCUGUUGAUCUUUUGGAUGAUUUAUGGCAGAGGAACCAGAUGACUUUUAUGAUUUUACUCCUGAGGACUAUUUCCGACUUAUGGGUGACAGAAUUGGAGGUAAUAGUGUGAGUGGCAAGUUGCUUAUCUGUUUGGAUAGAAUAUUUGUGCUUUCUACUAACUAGAUAACCUGUUCUUUUCCCUGAUAUUUGGGUUUAAAAUUCUGUCUGUGAACUAGUUAAUUUUAAAAGUUUUGUUAAUUGUAGAUUUUUUUUUUGACCACUAAUAUAAUAUAUUAUUGACUCAACAAAGUUAUGUGCAGCACAAUCUCAAGUACUUAAGACUCGUAAAAUACGGGAAGCAGAAGCUGCAGCUCGCAGAGCAAGAAUUACUAAGGUACAGUUGUACGGAUAAUGGUCACAUACUCGUAAUCUAAUGUCAUGAUGAAAAAUUAUUCUUUUCUCUUGUAAAUUUAGGACCCUGCUGCAUCUAAACAGUUUUAUGUCUUUAUGAAACUUAUGCAAAUUGUGUAACUUGCUUCUGAUAAGAAUGUUUCGAAAUUAUCUUCUCAUUGAACGAACAAACUCUUUUCCCUGCUUGAUAUAUGAAAUAUCUUGCUGAGGAAAAUUCUUUUGUUGCACUUUCUUAGCCCAUAUUUAAAGCUUAUCUAGAAUGAUACAUGACUUUACUUUUCUAGGGAGAAAAUUUAUAAAUAUCAUUUUUACUCACUAAAGCAUGAUUUCCUACCCAAGAUUUUUCAAUUUGAUUAUAUUUCUUCCCCUUGGAAAAGGGAACUCGACUUAAAAGGAGUUGCAUCGUAGUGGUAGAUUAUGUCCAGUUUAUAUCUCAGAUUACCCUUUCCCUUCAAAAGGUAAUGUGAUUUUUGAUUUUUUCUACAGAUUGCUUCUUACUAAAUUAAUAAGGCAUCUUAAAGAGUAAAAAACUAAAAUCAAGUAAAUAAAGAAGGCUUUCCAAUUGAUUUUACAUGAAACACAAAUGUUCAACUUGGUUUUUACAAUCCAAUUAACUUUCUUUUCAUUAUAUAAAUGAUGCCAAUGAAUAUAUGUAUUUGAACAGUAUGAUGAGAGAUUUAUUGUGCAAGGAAAUGAGUAGCCAAUCUUGUGGUGAUAAUAGGUAUUUCUUGUAUCCAUUUCGCAUUAAGUAUUCCAAGCUAGUAUCUUGUUCCUAGCAAUAUUCGGUACAUUCCGACCAAAUUACUGACGUCACCUUAGAAAGUAUGUACCGCUGUCCAUCACUAAGGUAUCAUUGUAAAAAAAAAUUGCAUUAUGUCAUCUAUAAGACUAAAAUGGUAUAUAAGUGCUCUGUUGUUGCAGAUAACCAAAGCUACUGUGCCAAGUAAGUUGGAGUUGUUUGGAAUGGCAAAUCAACUAAGUUACGAAUUUUUUUUUUUUCCUUGGCCAACUAUAACCUUGAAGAGUAUCAGAAAAAGAACCGUCAAAUAGUAAAAAGAACUUUCAGUGACUUCAUUAUAUAUGCUAGACUUUGUUAUCGUCACCCCUUAGUUAAAAUUUCUAAAAUGACUGGUCUGCAAUGGACAGAUCCACUAAAAAAUGGAAAGCUCUUUUGGAGUAAAUAAUGUCCAUUACGAUUAGUUAGCAACAAAGUAUAGUAAAUUAUUGUUAUCAUUUGUGAACAAAUAAUAUUAGGUUAAUGUUUAUGCGUUUAUUGAUACCACUGAAAAUUGAGAUCAUGACAACUGACAAGUACAUUUUGUUCUACAUAAUUAUGUGGAAGUUUGUGUGCACUUUGUAUGUUGGACUUCUAAGAGAACCUUCCGCUAAGACGCUCACUUUUGUAAUUUUAUUUUAUUUUUUAUUUUCUUCUACACUUAGUACUUGGUUUUCCAAUUUGUUUCCUGUCUUUAUUGUUGACAUUAUUUUGUAUUCGCAUAGGCUGUGAUAAGAGUUCGUUUUCCUGAUAAUUACGUCUUUGAGGCCAAGUUUCAACCAUCAGACAAGAUUCAAAGUUUGAUUGAUCUUCUAACGAAAGCAAUUGCUCGACCAAACGUGCCUUUCUAUUUAUGUAAGUAAUAUGGGAAUCUAUUGCUGUUACAAGCAUUACUAUGUUUUUGGCAUCUUCUUGUUUUCAUGUGAUUGGCAAUUUCUUAGUUAUUUUUGUUAUUUGAUCACAUCAUUUUGAUUUUGUCCAAUCUCCAAACCUUGGCUGUUCUCUAAGGAAACUUCAGUUAAUUAAAUGUGAAAUUUAUUGUAACUGACUGAUGUUAUGAUGUCACAAUCGUCAAGCUGAUACCAUGUCCAACAAUUUAAUCUGUUUCUGUGUAUUUCACUUUCUUUUAAAUGACCGGUGAAUUUGAACUUUGUAUAAUUAUAUUUCAACUAAAGUGCUUCUGUCAACUGGUGCUUUACUAUUAUUCGAUCUAAGACUGUUAUAUUAGGUAAAUUUUUUUGGGUAAACUUCAAUUUGCCCCCUGUUUUAGCUCAUUUUCACUUUGCCUCCCCAUGGUUCAAAGAACUGCACUUAGCUACCCUGUAUUUUGGCUCAUUUUCACUUUGCCACUCUAUGGUUCAGAAAGUUACAUUUAACUAGCCUAUGGUUAUCUAAAAAUAUUACUUUGCUAUCCUAUUUGAUAGUAGACUUUUUGGGUAAAAAUAGAGAUAAAACCAUAGGAUAGUUAAAUACAACUUUUUGAACCACAUGGUGGCAAAGUGAAAAUAAGCUAAACCACUGGGGGUCAAAUUGAAAUUUUCCUUUUUUUUAUCUAUACAGAACCUAGCUAUUGAAUCAAAUAUACCAUGUUCAAGAUUAUAUUUUCUGUCUCAAUUCUCGUAUGUCACGUACAUAACUUGAACUUUCUGUUGUAAGUCCCUAGAAUGCAGAUAAAAUAUGAUGUUUUUAUGUAAGAUAAAGCCAACGAUUGUCUAAUUUGAGCCCAUAUCAUGGUCCUAUAUAGAGCUUAGGCUUGUGAUAGCAAAGAGCUUGCUUUUACUUUAGCAUAAGAAGACUAGUGGAAUUACUAUCUGGAUAUUGCUUGAUGUUAUUUCUUCAGUAUUUGUACACAUUACGGGAUGAACCUUGAGCGGUGAGAAUAGCAGAGUCAAUCAUUUUAAGAAACCAACUAGUAGGUACAUUUCUAUGGUAUGCUGAAAUCGUUAUGCAAGAUAGGAUUAAUUAUAUCUCUCAGGCCUCUUUUAGCAUUUGUUCUGCACAAUGCUCUUAAGUAGCAAAUGAGCUUAUGAAAAGCAUCAUCCUAUAUGCUUUUGUGGUGACUGGUGUGGAUGUAGAAAAAUUGACUAUAACAAACCCUUGCUUGGAGUUUUGGUGAAUUUUCAAACAGCCCCUUUGCACGCAGACACAUAAUACACACAGCAGACACGCUCUCCAUGCUCCAAAUGGAACCUUUGGACCAUUUUUGCCUAUAUAUAUUACCAUAUGGUCAUUUUUGCUUAUGUAUACUAACAUCUCUCCUUUCAUUAAUAUGCUAGAAGUUACUAAUUCAAUCUAAUUGUUAUACAGAUACCACUCCUCCAAAGGAGCGAAUAAAAGAUACAUCGAAAGAUUUCUACUCAGCAGGGUUUGCUCCUGGAGCAAUUGUCUACUUUUCUUAUGAUCUGCCGAAAGGUCAGUACUUCUAUUUUUAUGAAGCACAUCGAUCUGUAACUUUUCUUUUUGUCCUUUAUUUUCAGAACUUCAAAAAGAUUUUCAUUUUCAAAAAGUGAUUUGCAGCUAAGGGGCUUUUGGUUCGACAUAAAAUUUUGAAAAAAAAAAAAGUUUGGUGGAAAAAUAAUUUCGAAGAAAAAGAGUUUUACUCUCUCUAGUGUUUGGUUUGUUGGAAAAUAACAAUAGUUUUCCAUCUAGACUUGUUUGGUUUGCAGGAAAAGGAAAACAUAGAUAAAAACCUAUUUUAUAUUUUUCCUUUAUUUUAUGUAUGUAUAUUAAUUAUUAAAUAUAUAUAAUAAUUAGCAUGCUAUAUAUGAGAGAGAGGUCUACGCUCACGCAGUCCACGAGGUCCACUUCACCUCAUGGACCGUGUGACCCACGCAAUGAGCCGCAAUGCUUUGCCAAUGAAUGCUCAAAAAUAACGAAAUCCGAAAACACAAUUUUUUCCAAAAAUUUGUAAAAUAUUUUACGAGAAAGCAAUUUUAUGUAGAACCAAAUUAGAAAUUAUUUUUCGAAUCAAAACUACUUUUCGGGCUAGUUUUAUAUGGAACCAAACAUACCCUAAUUUGGUGGUGGUAAUAAUGAGUGAACAAACUUAUUGUACAACUUUGCAUACAACUUUGCAUACUCAUAAAAAUAUAGACAAAUGUGACACCCCAAUAGUCCCGGAAUAGGUGGAAACGGGGUUGUGAUUGGAUAUAUUAGAGAUCAUGGAUCCACUAGCAAUAAUAACUCAUUGGGCACAUACCACCGUGUUAGGGACUUAGCAUUUUUUCCCAUAUUUCUCCUAUGCAAUCAUCCAAAGGAGAUUGUUGCCAGAGGUUGUGUUGGAGUCUUCUAGAACCAUCUCUGGGUAUCAAGAUUGCGGACGUGGAAGCUAAGUAGUCAAAGUGUCCCUUAGAGUUUCUAAGAGAGGUAAUAAAUAGUCUCUUGGGAGGUCGUAGCCUCCCCUUUUUGGCUUGUAGUUUUGCGCCACUUGGUGGUUUUCUAUUUGGUCUAUUGGGCGGCGAGUGGCCAUGUAUACUUGUGGCCUCUACCCCCUCAGGAUAACUCAGAUUAUACUUCUUUACUCUCAAGCAAUGUAAUACAACAUUCCUCUCUCUCUAUCUCUCUUUCUUAUACUUAGUCUUAGGUCUAGUAGGUCUAAGCUAGCAAGUAGAGUGGCAUGCUUGCUCACUUUACGAGGAAAGGCGAGCGCCGCACGGUCUUGACAAGCACUUAUUGCUCAAGUCCAUGACAGUUGGUAUCAGAGCGAGUUCGAAAACUGGGAGCUAUGUCAUCGUCGAAUGCUGCCGUCGUUGACAUUGUCCCUGAGCCCAAGCACUCCAAGCGCGGCAAAAAUAAGGAGCCGCCGACCAAUGCGAGAGAAUCUAGUUCGCUCGAGGACCGCAUGGGCUUGAUGGAGAUGCUGUUGCGAGAGAAGAAAAGCACUAUUCUAUUCUAUCCCAACACGUGGGGAUGAUGGAGGACGAGUUGCAUGCAAUGGAGGACAGUGUUGCGACUACCAUGGCGACUUUCAGACAACAACUCAAGCAAUUUCGGAGUGACCUCGCCCGUCGCGAGGAUGAGUGGAUGGUGUUGGUGGAGGACUUUGUUACUAGGGUCGAUGAGGUCGAGGACCUCAAGAUGAGGGUGACAAUCCUUGAGAAAGUGGUAGCUCAUGGUGUUGAAACGCAAAACAAGCACACCUCGAAGAUCCACGUCCCUGAAUUUUCCAAUGCUUUAAGGGCAUGCGCUAUGAGAAGGAAAUUGAUAAUUUCUUAUGGCACAUGAAGUGCUACCUCAAGGCGUUGCAUUUGGAGGACGAGGAAGAUAAGUUCCAAACCGCUUUCAUAUACUUCACGGACGACGCAAUGCUAUGGUGGCGUCGGCGGUCGGCGGAGGCUGAGAAGGGCCAAUGUGAGCUUAAGAUCUGGGAGCACUUUGUGCGCCAGCUCAAGGCGCAGUUCUACCUAGAGCACGUGGAAUACCUUGUGUGGAGGCAACUUCAACGACUCAAACAUCGAUGGACAUUGAAGGAGUAUGUCUAGGAGUACUCUAAGCUAAUAUUGACAAUCACCAAUAAGGAUUGGUUAUUCUUCUUCCUAGAUGGGCUUCAACCAUGGGUCAACAAGAAGCUUGUGGGGCAAAUUGUCAAGGACCUGAACUCUGUGAUAGGUUUGGCAGCGAAAUUGCUCGAAUAUGAGCGAAUCGAGGGCUAUCAUGGUAAACCACCCAAGGCGAGCGAGGCCAAAGGUGGGGGAGAGCACCGCAAUACAGGGGACGAGAAGGGACACAGAAUUUGGCUCCGCCACACAAAAACCUUAUGUGCUAUGUGUGCAGCGAGAACUAUCGGGUGCGGGACUACCCAAACAAGAACAAGAAGGAGGAGAAACAAGUGGUUGUAGUCCAAGCUGAGGGUAAGGACGAGGCAGAACUGCCGAGGAUGGGUGCGCUAAGGCUUGUCAAUGCGGUUCGUGGGCAGCCAAGAGGUGGCAAGCUCCAUAGGAGGGAGCUGAUGUUUAUCGAUGUGACCCUCAACGGGAGGGCCACAUGAGCGAUGAUCGCCACUGGCACGAUACAACCUUGUCCUGAGGUAAAGGCCAAGUAGUUUGACCUCAAGCUGGAGAAGAAUACAAGUCGCAUCAAGACUGUCAACUCCGAGGCGUGACCUAUCACAAGAGUUGCAGAGGGCGUGGAGAAAGCCAUCGGCCCGUAGAGAGGCAUGGCCAAUCUCAUGGUCGAACCGCUCGAUGACUUUGGAGUGAUCCUUGGGAUGGACUUCUUAGCUUCGUCGAAGUGGGUGCUGAGCUUCACGGAUCAGUCAGCCCUAUGCAUGGUCUUGAUGUGUCGGGGAGAGCCGACGAAGGACCAAACCCUAACAGCCUUGCAACUUUGCUAGGAGGUGAAGUACGAGGGGGUACUCAACUAUAAGGGCCUUGAGGAGGAGGACCUGGAUGAGAGCGAGGCUGUCAAGCCAAAGAAGUUCCUGGAGCAACUUGCACCCAAUCAAGGGGUAGAGCGCCCUGUUGAGCGCAAAGCCGAGGAUGAGCGGGCGACCUUGGGAGUCCCGUAGCUCGGCGGUGUGCGAGUGCAUGUCAAGGAGGACAAGCACAUUCGACAACUUGGACUCGAUGACAGACUUCUUCGCAUAGCGAGAUGACUAGUGUUCAUGCUCAACGGGGCAAGGCACUGGGAGCAGGUGCAGAAGCAAAUGCGGAUUACGAUAGAGAAGUUGAGGCCGCGCAAGCGCAAAGGCACGGGUGACUGCAAGCAGCGCUACAUGGACUGAGAUUAGCACAACACGCGGCGAAGGCAUCUACGCAUUAGGUAGGGCGGGUUGUUAGGGACUUAGCAUUUUUCCCCGAUUUCUCUUUUGCAAUCAUCCAAACUCCGAAGAAGAUUGUUGCUGGAGGUUUUGCCGGAGUCUUCUAAAAGCGUCUCUACGAGUAUUGAGACUGCAGGCGUGGAAACCGAGGAGUCAAGUGUCCCUUCGAGUUUCUAGGAAAGAUAAUAAAUAAGGUCUCUUGGGAAAUCGUAGCCUCCUCUUUUGGCUUGUAUCCUUACGCCACUUGGUGCCUUCUAUUUGGUCCAUUGGGCGACGAGUGGCCUAUAUAUAUACUUUUGGCCUCCACCCCAUCAGGAUAACUCAGUUUGUACUUUUCUACUCAAGCAAUAUAAUACAACAUUCCUCUCUCUCUCUCUCCUUCUCUCGUACUUAGUUUUAGGGCAAGUAGGUCCAAACUAGCAAGUAGAGAGGUAGGCUUGCUUAUUUCACGGGGGAAGGCGGGAGCCGCAUGGUUUUGGCAAGAACUUUUGCUUAAGUCCGUAACAAUCGGCCCAAAAUGCUAAGUCUAGUUAUUGUUACUAGAGUCUAUGGUCUUUUAUAUACCCAAUUACAAUUCCGUUUUCAUCCAAUGUAGAACUAUUGAGGUGUCACAAUCUCUCCCCGUUUAGGCAGUGAUGUUCAGCUCAAUCACACAUAUAGCCAAAGAUCAUCAGGUAAUGUGAGGCCCACCUUACGAUCAGAGCCAGUUCACCAACUGGAACUGUGAGGUGGGCCUCACAUCGCCUGGUGAUAUUGGGUUGUAUAUGUGAUUAGACCGACGAGGACGUCAAGGCCUAAAUGGGGGGAGUCUAUGAUACCCCAAUUGUCCCACAUAAGAUGAAAACGGGAUUGUGAUUGGUAUGUAAGAGACCAUGGACCGUAGUAAUACUAACUGGACUUGAGUAUUUUGGGCCGGUGGUUUGAGCCUAACGAGUUAUUAUUACUAGUGGGUCGGAUUAUUACAACAAAUUUAUUUGAUAACAUUGUAACGGAAAUGCUUGAAAUUAUUGUACCUAUGAUUCUUCUUUAUGUAACUCGCCUUAUGUUGGCAUGCCAAAUUCUUUCUCUAGUUCAAUGCUAAGAAUUCAAAUCUUGUAGUUUCUUUGUUUUUUCCAUUUGUCUUGGUCCACAUGAAGUGAUUAUUAUUCUAUGUUUAAAACUUGACUCAAUCUGCUGUAUAAAAUUGUUUCAGUUAGUUCCAUGAGGAUUGUUAAGCAUCUAACAUCAUGAAAACCGGCUAAUCCGUGUAAGACAAUUUCAUAUCGACUAUUGCAUAACUUGGCUUUACAGUUAAGGUUUGAUCUUCCCCUUCCUCAACCCUCUUCGCAGUAGCUCCCUGCUUUUCUAGCUUGGGCUCCCUGUUUUUUGCUCCCUCUCUUAGUUCUUUCUUGGAUUUUAUAUAUUUUUUUAUUUCUUUCUUUUAGAUGCGUUUUUGUCAUCUUUUUCUUUCCGUCUUUGUCCUCUGUUGAACCGUUUUUGUAGCUAAUUCAUUUCCCUAAUGAACAAUGCGGGUUGAGGUUGUUUACCUCUUUGUUACAGCCUAUUUUUUAUAUUUUGUUUCCUUUCAUAAAUCAUAAGCAGAUUUUUGUAUCUUUAAUCAUCUAAUACGACGAAGUGUUUAAUCAAUUAUUAAUUCAUUUCCUAUAUUGCAGAUUCAGAGUUAAAUAGCGAAGCUCUGACAGGGCCUUAUCUUCGUGAAGACAUCCGAUCUUUAAAUGGACUUGAGCUUCCCUCCAAACAAGAACAAGCCGAUCCUGCCAAUUCUCAGCCAGAAGCUCCUGUAAUCGAGGCUCCUCCUCCUGCUUCUGAUCCCAAUCCAGCACCGAAGAAGCCAACGAAACCGAAGUGGCUUAAAUUAUAAACACCCUGAGGGUAAGUUUUUGCAUUAUACUUUCAUAAAUUUUGUACCGGAGGAGCAAAGUGCAUGAAAUUUUGUCACCAUGAGUUUAUGCUUGACUGAAACAGAGAUGUAUGGGUUGCAUAUUUUAGUUUUGUAAAGACAUUGAUAGGAUGACGACUAAUGUUUUAUCGUUUCGAACCUAUCAUUCCCCGCUGCAUUGCUUUCUUUUUCCGGAAAUCAGAACAAAUAUUAUAUUCUUUUGUUGUCCUUCUUGUAGUUGAUGGAAGUUUGGAACCUUGAAGGCGCCCCAUGAUCAAAACCUCCUCUAACAUCCUUGCAAUGGAUGUUUCCAUAUCGUAAACAGGCCAAAGAGCAACAACUUUUCUCAGGGUUUUGUUCCGCAUGAGAUUGUUAUCGCUUUGCCGUGCACCGAAGAAUUAUGUAAUGCUUAUCCUGUAACAUAUGGUAACUAGGAAAUAGUGCACAGUUAUGGUGUUUUGCUUCACUUCUGGUUUCUUCUUCUACUUCCGUCGCACCGCCUCACCUUCUGCUAUUAUUCUUUCCCUAGUUGCUACCAAUGGUUUCAUUUGUUAGGGUCUGUUUGAUCAGCUGAAGUUUCUACAUAGUUUUCUUUCACAAGGAAUUUGUAUGAAGAAGAUAUUUCUUUUUUUUUUCCCUUAAAAAAUCUCUUUUGACGAGGACAUCUUUUGCCCUGUGAUAAUAAGUCCACAAGACUAAUAAGUUGAGUUGGAUAAGCGUAAUAAGUUGAGUGGGGUUGUGGUUCACAAAAGACUUAACGAUAAGAGGUCCAACAAUAGAAUUAAUGUUUAGGUUGGUUAAGUCAGGUUGAAGUCCGCGAGUGGGUUUUCUAUCAGUACAUGCUUUUGGAACAGUUGGUUAGCGCUUACGAUUCACGGUUUAUAACUAAUUUGUAGGUU